ensembl:lncRNA
UUGGGGAGGGAAGGAUUUAUUCAGCUUACAUUUCCACAUUGCUGUUCACCACCAAAGAAGUCAGGACUGGAACUCACGCAGGUCAGAAAGCAGGAGCUGAUGCAGAGGCCACCAAGAGAUGUUACCUACUGGCUUGCUCAGCUUGUUUUCUUAUAGGACCCAAGACUACCAGGGAUGGCACCACCCACAAUGGGCUGGGUUCUCCCUCCUUGAUCACUAAUUGAGAAAAUGCCUUAUAGCUAGAUUUCAUGGAGGUAUUUCCUCAAGGGAGGAUCCUUUCUCUGUGCUAACUCCAGCUUGUGUCAAGUUGCAGAAAACACAUACACACACACAAACAACUAGUACAGCAUCAAUAAAGGAUGAAUGAAAAAAAUGUUUUUUUACACAAUGAAUUUGUUUUUCACCCAUAAAGAAUGAAAUUAUGUCAUCUAAGGAAAAAUGGACACGACUGGAUGUAGUGAGAAUUUUGGGCCAGUUAUGGGCUAGAGAGAUGGCUUAGAGAUUAAGAGCACUGGCUGCUCUUCCAGAGGUCCUGAGUUCAAUUCCUACCACAUGGUGGUUAAACAACCAUCAAUGAGAUCUGGUGCCCUCUUGUGGCCUUCAGGCAUACAUGUAGAUAGAACAUUGUAUACAUAAUAAAUCACUUUUAAAAUCCAGGUAUGUAUGUAUUUAUGUAUAUAUUUGUUUUAAUCCCAGGUGUAGGUAAGAGGCUGCUUCACAGCAGGUGAUUAAGAUUUGCCUCAUGCACUAGCAGGGGUGUGGUUUUGUCAGCUGCAGAUAGUUUAAUUCUGGGGAUGGAGGUGUAAGGGGGAGUGGGGGAGCUCCAAGGUGGCUGGUGCUGUCUCCCCUCUUGUGUUUGUGGAUUGCUGGAUAUUCUGACAAUGAAGAUUAGACUUGUCCCUAGAAACCCGACAAUUUCCCUCCUCAUCAGGCAGUAGCCUAAAUAGGUUACCCUUUUCUCUCCUACCUAGUGUUGGGGGAUUAGAAGGGAUUAAGGUGGAAAAUAAGACUCAUAAAAUGUUACAUGGGCAGAUGACAGGAAAGGAAAGGCUAUCUAAAGGAAAUUGGGACAGGUAGGAGGAACAAGAAAGGUUUGGUGGCCAAAUAUAGAGGAGAUGGGCUUAAAGCACAUUAUAUAAGAAAGGUCCUAUGGAACUCGAUUGCAUCUAAUAUAACCCUGUAUAAAUCAUACAAUUCUUUUUAAAAUUUCUUUAUUUAAUAUUUGAGUACACUGUAGCUGUCUUCAGACACACCAGAAGAAGGCAUCAGAUCUCAUUACAGAAUGAGAAUUUUGUGGUUGUUGGGAAUUGAACUCAGAACCUCUGGAGGAGCAGCCAGUGCUCUUAACCACUGAGCCAUCUCUCCAGACCCCAUACAGUUCUUUAAAAUCUAAAAAUAAAUGUCAAAAUUAGACCCCUCACAUUGUUAUUUAAAACUACUCAAGGAAAGCAAACACCACAUAUUAAUAUCUUUUAUUAUCAGACUUUGUGAGCCAAGAGACAUUGCUUCCCUUAGCUGUCUGUGAGGGAUAAGGCCAAGGUAACUUCUUUCUUUGUGAGUAGGCUCAUUUGGCCCACCUUUAUAUUCUUUCCAUAUAAAAAUAAAAGUCCGAGUCCAGAUUCUUCUUCUGGUUACAACUGCUGUCACUUACAGGUGCUGUGUUCAGUUCACCUUUAUGAACUAGGGACAAAGCAAUGUGUAAAUUCCAUUAAAGCCUCAGCAUUUGUGUUGGGGCCCCUUAGAGAUUUGCUUGAGGGGUACAGAGUUUGGGAAUGCAGCAGCUUCCCCCCACAUUCAACAUGGUUAUAUUUGCAAUCUAGCCAGAGUGAUGAUACAAGUUUCCCUUCAAAGACAAAAAAAAAAAAA